GGGGUUCGCCUGCUUCCUGCGCUUACACCUGGGGCCAUCCGCCAUGAUCCUCGCGCUGGUGUCUCCGCGCUCCAGUCACCUCCUCCCCCCUCCCUUCCUUCCCCCCUCCCCCUCGCCGCUCUCCCCCCACCCCCGCCCGGACCUGGUUUACGACACUGGGUGGUUUGGGCUGGCUCCGCUUUUUUUUUUUUCCUCUCCCGCUUUUUUACAUCACCUUCCCACACCUAGUGCUCGGCCGCCGGAACCUCGUUGCCAGGGAGACGGCCGCUUUACGGCAGCGGCGUUUGAACCGGCGGGAGGGAAAAGUUUCCUCGGCCCCUCAGGACUUUUUAAAGUAUCUUGAAGGAGGCCAACUCAAUACAUUAGCAAAACUAGCUGUCAGAGACCUGCAGUGCCAUCCUAACCCUAGUUUAAUGCUUCUAAGCCCACUCACUUCAGUGGACUUGGAACAGUGUAACUCUGCUUAGGAGUGCUAAUGUCUGAUAAGAACUUGCUAUUUAUAAUACACAAGUUGGAGGCCUUCAAGGAAAUGCAUAAACAACUGGGAAAUCUUUCCCUUCAGGUAGCUAAGAGCUAUUAGGGAUGCAGACAGAUCAAUUUCCCCUCUCUCCCCACUUAUUUUUCUCCCUUUAACUUGUAUUCAACUGUCUUCACCAUUCCAAGCCUUCUAAACAGCAGUGAGUACAUACAAUUCUUCAAAGGCCAUUUUUUGAGCUUUUAGAGGUAUGAAGACCGGGGGGG